GACGAACGCUGGCGGCGUGCUUAACACAUGCAAGUCGAACGGAAAGGCCCUGCUUUUGUGGGGUGCUCGAGUGGCGAACGGGUGAGUAACACGUGAGUAACCUGCCCUUGACUUUGGGAUAACUUCAGGAAACUGGGGCUAAUACCGGAUAGGAGCUCCUGCUGCAUGGUGGGGGUUGGAAAGUUUCGGCGGUUGGGGAUGGACUCGCGGCUUAUCAGCUUGUUGGUGGGGUAGUGGCUUACCAAGGCUUUGACGGGUCGCCGGCCUGGGAGGGUGACCGGCCACAUUGGGACUGAGAUACGGCCCAGACGGCUACGGGAGGCAGCAGUGGGGAAUAUUGCACAAUGGGCGGAAGCCGGAUGCAGCAACGCCGCGUGCGGGAUGACGGCCUUCGGGUUGUAAACCGCUUUCGCCUGUGACGAAGCGUGAGUGACGGUAAUGGGUAAAGAAGCACCGGCUAACUACGUG
rnacentral:rRNA from 1 species